CUCUACAGCCAUGCCACCCUGGACACACCCAAUCUCGUCUGAUCUUGGAAGCUAAGCAGGGUCAGGCCUGGUUAGUACUUGGAUGGGAGACCGCCUAGGAAUACUGGGUGCCUGUAGGCU
ensembl:rRNA 5S_rRNA 5S ribosomal RNA